AGCGGGGAGAGGCGGGAGGGGGGGAGAGAAGCGCGAAGAUGCUGCCGCAGCCGCAGCGGAGGAGCCGGGACCCGCCAUCCCCGUCCCCGCCCUGCGCGGUCCGGCCUCUCCAGCCGUCUCUUCGCGCGCCUCCGCGCCCCCUCAGCCUCCUGCGCUGAAGCCGCUGCCUCACGCCCCCUCCAGGCCCCCGGUGUUUUCUCGCUCGUCCAGCCUCUCGCUCAGCAGGCUCAGUCUCUCUUUCCCCCUUCCACUCUCCUUCCUUUCCCUUCCCGGUGCCCUCUUCUCUUCUCUUGUCCUGGAGUCCCUGGACGGGGGCUGAGGGCCGGGCAGUGGAGGUAAGGGGGAGGACAGCGGUGGGGGGACUGGGUGUGCCCCGGUCCCAAGUGUCCCGGCAGAGGGACGUGAAGAUAGGACACCUAUGGGCAGCAGGACUGGGGACUCCGAGGACCUUUGGGUGUGUGGGGGUUGGAAGAGGAGGGUGUGGGGGUGGCAGCCCAGGUUAUUGAUCCCGGCCUCCCUGGUUCCACCCACAGUGACCACAGCUCCCCAGGAGCCCCCUGCCCGGCCUCCCCAGGCGGGCAGUGGAGUGAACCGGGCCCCUGGGCGCGCCAUGCGCAGCACCACCCUACUCGCGUUGCUGGCCCUGGUCCUACUCUACUUGGUAUCCGGUGCCCUGGUGUUCCAGGCCCUGGAGCAGCCCCACGAGCAGCAGGCCCAGAGGGAGCUGGGGGAGGUCCGAGAGAAGUUCCUGAGGGCCCAUCCAUGUGUGAGCGACCAGGACCUGGGGCUCUUCAUCAAGGUGCGUGGGUGGGCAGGAACCCCUUCAGCGGUCACCUGUGACCCCCCCCCCUCCCCCCGAAACUAGCUGCACGCCAGUGGGGCCCCGCGCUGGGUUGCUGCUUCCCGACCGGCACCCCCUGACGGUAGGGUGCCGCUGAGGGGCGCAGGCCAGAGGCCGGGAUCCCGCUCUCUGGGUUUUCAGUAUCGCGGCCAUGGGGGCAUUGAUUUGCCUGGCCGUGCCUGGCAUUGGACUGAGCCCCUGGACUGUCUUCUUCGGUGUGACUGACGGUGGUUGAGUGAAGGAACGAGUGAAGGAAGAAAUGAAUAAAUGGCUGGAGCCCGUGAGAUAUGUCACAUUUUCACAGGCCUACCUCACCGGCUCAGGGGUUGCCAGAUGAAACCCAGGGCGCCUGGAUACUUGUGAAUUUUAGCCACUAAGCAGCGAAUAGUUUUUAAAAAUAAAUACGCCCUGCGCAGUAUUUUUGUCUCCUAAACCUGGCCACGCCACACUGGUUUCUCUACUGCUUUGGAGUCACCGAUGCCUUGGAGACACCCAAGAACACUGAACACGCCCCCUGACCCCUGGAAAAACGCACAUGUAAACACGUCCGGGUGAUUUCAGAGGGUUCCGGGAUCCCCUAAGCUUGCCACCGGGAUGCCAGGUUGGGCACCCCUUCACUGCCAGCGCACGGGCUUAUGAUGAGAAGGCUGGAGGAAGGGGCAAGGCAGGGGUGGGGUCAGCUUUGGGUUCAGUGACUAACAGCGCCGGGCUUCAGCCUGCUGGGGGUACCGUCAGGCAAGCACCUUCGUCGCUUCCUCUGAUUUCUGAGCGACGUCAUGUAAAACCUCCAAGGUUUCACGUUAAUAAAUUAAUGUUUAUUACUUUACUGAAGAGUCCCCCUCUUUCUCCGCCUGUUCUUUCGGAGGGAGGAGCCAUCCGCACGCACGGAGGCCUCCGUGUUCCAGCUGAUUCCCAAGGUGGCAGGACCAGGAGCCCAGAUGAGGGGCAGGGUGGGGCCGGGACACAGGCGGCCUGACGUCCUCUCUGACACUUCCAGAAUGCAGAGGAAGGCUCAGAGAGGCCCGGGCAGGAGAAUGUGUCUGGCCAGACCACAGGGCAGAGGAAGGGAGGGAGGGAAUCUGACCUAUUUUUUCCUCCACACUGGAAAUGCUUUUUCCCUGGAUAAAAAAAGAAGAAAAGGAAUGGCAGAAAUUAGAAGUGUGGGCGACAGCUGCUUUCUCUUCCACAAUUAGGGAGGCAGCAAUUAUGCACCUACUGGCUGCUAGGUGCUGUGCUCUACACCAUAGGGUGACCAGGGAAAUGCAUAGGGGGUGGAACAGGUGCAGGUACAGGCUAUACCGGAGAGGAUGUCACUUCGGGAUGAGGGGACAGAUCCAGGGACAGGUUACUGUAGGAUUCAAUGGAAAGGGAACUUUCCUUGCUCCCUUCUCUGUUAAACACCUGUUGUGUGCCGGGCCCUGGGCUAGGUGCUGGGGGCUUUGAGGGGGAAGCCAGGGGCCUUGGGAAGGAGCUGGAAAUUGACCGGAGGCAGGUGAGAGGCGCAGGAUUUAGAGAUGUGCGAUUGGGUUGCCAGAGACCUACCGGCAGAGGAACAGCAUGGGCAAAGGCGGGGAAGCUGGAAAGCUCAGAGUGUUUUGCAGAGCUUGGGUUUAGCAGAUGCCUCGUCACUGGAAGCAAAAAUUAGAACACACAGGAUGACAAAGGAUUUUUUCCCCCUAAGUGGUGAAUUUAUUGGAAAAGUCUUGCAAAAUAAAAAUCAAAUCACUUUAAUCAUACAUUUCACUUCUUGGCUUCAUUUAAAAAUUGUUAUGACAGGAAAUGGGAUCAUCUCAAAAUCUGGGGGUAAAGUCACAGCAGCUUGGGUUCCCAAUGGGAGCCCCAGGAGAGAAGACUGGAAAAAAAGGAGGUUGGGAACAGGGACUUGAAUGCUGGGCUGGGAGUUUGGAUGCUAUGCUAAGACAGCAGGGAGCUACAGAGGAUUGGGGGCAGUCGCCUUAAGAAGAUGAAUUUGGAAUGGGUCUUGCUAAUGAGGAUUGCAGUCAGAGAGAAAGAAUGUGCUUUAUGAUCUCCUCCAUGGCCCUGUGCGGUGGCUCUGUGCUCCUUCGGUAAGAGCUCCUCCGUCACUUACGGCAGAUACUCUCAAAACACGGACUCUGCCUUGGAGGGGCCUACAAGGUGGCAGGAGGGACAGACACAUGGCCACUUCAUUAAUCUAAUCAUAUCUACUGAGGACCAACCAGGUAGCGCAGGGUUUGGCUUGGACUUCAGCAGGGUGGGCGGGGGCUUGUGUGUCCACGAACCUUCAAAUAUUGGAUGCAAAAUCUGAUGGCAUCCGAACCCUCCUGGGGGAAGGGCCCCUGACUUCCAGCAGAUUUUCUAAGGCAAGGAACUCAAACUCACCUUCCAUAGCGGAGAUGGGAAUGGUGGGCUGGACAUCACUGGGCAUGAUCACCACUGGGGACUGAGUUAACAAAUACACAGGGCUUAAUUUGUUGCGAGUGCCUUAACUCUUCACAACCCUCUGAGGUAGGUGCUAUUACCAUCAUCCCCACUUGACAGGGGCAGAAACAGGCAGAGUGUUAACUUGCCUGAGGUCAAGAUUUAAACCCAGGCUGACUGCGCCGAGGUCUGUGCUCCUGACCGCUGUAAAUUUGCAAUUGUUUGCGUGAAAUUAAGGGACAGAAGACUAGAAUGCUUCUAAAACAAGGUGGAGGCCAAACAAAAUUGAGCCGCCCAAUCUGCAGUGUCUCCUCUGAGGGACUGGCCUCAGAAGACCAGGGGGAAGGGGAGAGCUGGGAGGGGUAGGGAGGAAACCACUCUGGAGACUGGAGGGCCAGGGGGUUGGCCAGGACAGUAGGGAAGGACUGAGGUUCCUCCUUCUGCGCCUUGUCCCGCAGGAGGUGGCUGAUGCCCUGGGAGGGGGUGCGGACCCUGACACCAACUCAACCAGUAACAGCAACCACUCAGCCUGGGACCUGGGCAGCGCCUUCUUUUUCUCAGGCACCAUCAUCACCACGAUCGGUGGGGGAGGGGACUGAGCAUGUGGAGUGGGGGGAGGGGGGAGGCGGGGGGCGGGGGGCCCGCUGGGCUUUCUCAAGGGGGAAAAUGCAGAGGGAGGAAGGUGGGUGCCAGGCAGCCCCUCGACCUCCUGCACGCUCCCUCUGCCCAGGCUAUGGCAACGCGGCCCUGCGCACAGAUGCCGGGCGGCUCUUCUGCAUCUUUUACGCGCUGGUGGGGAUCCCGUUGUUCGGGAUCCUGCUGGCAGGGGUCGGGGACCGGCUGGGCUCCUCUCUGCGCCGCGGCAUCGGUCACAUCGAAGCCAUCUUCCUGGUGAGCUGCUCCUCGCCCUGCGCGCCCUUGCGUUACGCUGGGGUUACCCUGCCCUACGUCCCCACCCGGGCACCGGGAGCGCGCGGGCCUCUGAGAUCGCGAGAGCCUCGCGCACGGGCUCGAGGAGGAGCCGGUGUGGGGCGCGACGGCGGAGGUUUUGGCGACUUCUUGGCUCUGGGCCGUUGCUCCUCCCUGCAGAAGUGGCACGUGCCACCGGAGCUGGUGCGAAUACUAUCCGCGGUGCUCUUCCUGUUGAUUGGCUGCCUGCUCUUUGUCCUCACGCCCACGUUCGUGUUCUGCUACGUGGAGGGCUGGAGCAAGCUGGAGGCCAUCUACUUCGUCGUAGUGACGCUCACCACGGUGGGCUUCGGGGACUAUGUGGCCGGUGAGGCCACCUUUCCUGCGCUGCACUUCCCUAGCCACUUAAUUGAUGCCCGGGGGGGGGGGGGGGGGGGGGGGGGGGGGGGACUGCAGUCUCGCUUCUCCCUCCAAAUUCCGUGUGGUGUACGUGAGCUCACAGGCGCUCGCUCCAAUCCCUCCCCGCACUCACGGAAUGUACCUUCACAUUUGUGCACCUAUGCAACACCUCAUAUGCCCUUACAUUCUUGCAUGCCCGCACCCCACGCAUGCUCACACAUACGUUAAGCGCACCCCUCACACGCGUCACAUUUAUAUUAUAUAUGUGCACUCCUCACAGACGUUUACACUUUUGCACGCGAGCACACUCCCUUGCAUAAUCUCACCUGGCACACCUCCAAGCCACGCGCACUCAACGUGCAUGCAUUCACACGCUCUAGCGCAUACCCAUGGCCCUGGGGAGGGCGGAUCCUCUCCCUGAGCUGGGAAGAGGGGCAGUGAGCCAGCAGCUCACAGGCUUAACGCUUGCCCCACAAUCAACAUCUUUCUGGCCUCCCCGGUGGUAUCCCAGGCGCCAGCCCCAACCAGAACUCUGCAGCCUACCAGCCGCUGGUGUGGUUCUGGAUCCUGCUCGGCCUGGCCUACUUCGCCUCAGUACUCACCACCAUCGGGAACUGGCUUCGAGUAGUGUCCCGGCGCACUCGGGCAGAGGUAGGCGCGCCCCUGGGUCUGCGCUGCGCUUGCGCCGUGGUGCUGAAGCGCUGUACCAGCGGGCUGACCCGUUGGCCUCCCUUCCAGAGCGUGGGCUUCUCAAGGCAGGGACUGAGUGCGCCCGGCCCAGGGACAGAGGGUUACAUUUGGGCCGGUUUGCUGGUGACUCCAUCUCUGCUCUCUUGGAUAGGGUUGCCAGAUUUAGAAACAAACCAAAACAAAACAAAAAGCAGGAAGCCCAGUUAAAUGUAAAUUUCACAUACAUAACAAUAGGCGUGUCCCAAAUAUUGCAUGGGAGGGAUAUACACAUAUCAACAUUUACUUUGUCGUUUAUCCAAAUUCACAUUUAACUGGGCGACCGGUAUUGUGUCACCUUACUGGCUGAGCCGGCGGAGGAGCCCGAUAAGGGACGCAAAGGUCUCUGGGGGGCACCGGAAGGAUGGCUGAAAUAAAGCUGGGGCUUUCUAGAAAAGCUCCUGGAGAAGAGGGCUCUUAGGUUCCGAUGGAGGAGAGGAGAGUGGGUAGCUGGGUUGAUGAGCCUUUUCUCUCGCUCGGGGGGGGGGGGGGGGCUGAGGCAGGAAGACCAGGAGGAAAAGAGGGGCAGUGCCUGAUUGACGACGGGUCAGGUUCCCGGGGUUGCCGAGGCGGUAGAGGACCCGCGGUCGGUCGAGGACUCCCUUUACUCCUCGCGCAGAUGGGCGGCCUCACGGCGCAGGCCGCCAGCUGGACCGGCACCGUGACGGCGCGGGUGACCCAGAGAGUCGGGCCCACGGCACCACCGCCGCUGGAGAAGGAGCGGCCACUCCUGCCUCCACCGCCGUGCCCAGCGCAGCCCGCCGCCGGGCCCCUGUCCCCUGCGCUCCCAGCGAAGGCCGAGCCGCCAACCCCGCCGUCCCCGCCCACCCCGCCCACCGCCUCCGCGCUGGAUUACCCCAGCGAGAACCUGGCCUUCAUCGACGAGUCCUCUGAUACCCAGAGCGAGCGUGGCUGCGCGCUGCCCCGCGCGCCACGGGGUCGCCGUCGCCCCCCUAACCCUCCCCGGAAGCCCGUGCGGCCGCGGGGCCCAGGGCGUCCCCGGGAAAAAGGCGUGCCGGUGUAGGGGCAGGACCCCCGGCCCGGGCCUCUCAAAGGGCUUCGUUCUAGCUCUCCCUGGCAUGCUCUGCUUGUUUGACCAAAGAGGCCUCUUUCGACCGGACUGAGGCCUGGGGAGGAAGCUACGGGUUGCUUGUCUGCCACCCUCCCCCCUUCCCCCCGCCCGGCUCCUGGCCCUCUCCUCACUUCAUUCAUUUGCAGACCCCCCAAGGCUUUCUGUCUCGCUGUCCCGGCUGGGCCCGUCCCUCACAACACCUCACGACUGUGCCUCAAAGCCUGCAUCAAUAAACGAAAACAGUUUGCACCGCUGCGGGCGUGCGCGCUCCGGGAACGCGAGUGGGUGUGGGAGAGCUUGCGUCGGGCCGCCUCCGGGGCAAGCCAGGCCUCCUGCGACCCCCAGGCCGGGCCUCCUCCCUCCCCCACCCCCCACCCCCAUUCCCGCCACGCGUGCACCCGAAAGGGCCACCCUUGGGCCCGUGUCUCUGCCGGGAGGCUACCGAGGAGGGUCCGGAUUAGGAAUAUGCCAAGGCGGGCUGUGCGUCUCCAAGCUCAAUACAGACGUGGGGGGCGCGGGGGUGUGGGUGGGUGGGGAGGAGAUAAUGGCAUCUAGUGUGGGGGUUGUAGAUUGAACUCUCCCUCGCGAGACCCGCAGCGCCAUUCGGGAACGCGACCCUGCCCCUCCCCGCUCCUGGAGCGUGACGCCCUCCUCCUUGCCCCGAGGCCUGUGGCGACUGGGUCCGUUGGGGGCAGAACCAUGGAGGAAAAGCCUUUCAGAGU
rnacentral:lncRNA from 1 species